rfam:Clostridium sp. CAG:169 genomic scaffold, scf91
AUAAAAAAGCUGUCAAUUCCAUAGACAGCAGGUGCAAAUGCACGAGCAUUGCUUAAAGUAAGCCUGCCGAGGAAAUGAUGAAAUAGCAUAUCUAUGACUUUUCAUCUGCUCUUUUCCCUCGGUGGUCCCCCACUGGGAGAAAAGAGCUUUUUUAAGUUUUCG